rnacentral:rRNA from 1 species
UACGGAGGGGGCUAGCGUUGUUCGGAAUUACUGGGCGUAAAGCGCACGUAGGCGGCUUUGUAAGUUAGAGGUGAAAGCCCGGGGCUCAACUCCGGAAUUGCCUUUAAAACUACAUCGCUAGAAUUGUGGAGAGGUAAGUGGAAUUCCGAGUGUAGAGGUGAAAUUCGUAGACAUUCGGAAGAACACCAGUGGCGAAGGCGACUUACUGGACACAUAUUGACGCUGAGGUGCGAAAGCGUGGGGAGCAAACAGG